rnacentral:rRNA from 1 species
AAUGAACGCUGGCGGCAUGCCUAACACAUGCAAGUCGAACGAUGCUUUCGGGCAUAGUGGCGCACGGGUGCGUAACGCGUGGGAAUCUGCCUUGGGGUUCGGAAUAACUCAGAGAAAUUUGAGCUAAUACCGGAUGAUGUCGAAAGACCAAAGAUUUAUCGCCCUGAGAUGAGCCCGCGUAGGAUCAGCUAGUUGGUGAGGUAAAAGCUCACCAAGGCGACGAUCCUUAGCUGGCCUGAGAGGAUGAUCAGCCACACUGGGACUGAGACACGGCCCAGACUCCUACGGGAGGCAGCAGUGGGGAAUAUUGGACAAUGGGCGAAAGCCUGAUCCAGCAAUGCCGCGUGAGUGAUGAAGGCCUUAGGGUUGUAAAGCUCUUUUACCCGGGAUGAUAAUGACAGUACCGGGAGAAUAAGCCCCGGCUAACUCUGUGCCAGCAGCCGCCGUAACAC